GCCAGAUCCCACACAGGGAACUUUAUCUGAAUGGCUAAAUAUUAAUUUUGACCCAGAGGUCAUCACUGGUAGCAAAGGCUGGUGCUAUGACAACAACCCAGAAACAAAGCAGCAGUCAAGUCAGUGGAAGCAUUCAAUGUCACCACGCCUCGAAAAAGCAUGUCAAGUGAAGUUCAGUGUCAAGACAAUGCUGAUUUGUUUCAUCAAUGUAAUAGGAAUUGUCUACACAGAAUUUGUUCCUCCUGAUCUAAUUGUUAACCAGAUGUUUUACUUGACAGUUCUGAAGCGUUUGUGAGACACGAUGAAAUGAAAACGCCUCAACCUGUAGCAAAGUGGAGAGUGGUGGUUUCAUCAUGACAAUGCUCUUGUGCACACCACCUUGAGUGUGAAACAGUUUUUUUACCAAAGAUGGCAUGAUCCUGCUUACUCACCCUCCCUAUUCAUCCGGUCUUGCUUCCUGCAACUUUUUUGUUUCCUUGAAUGAAAAAAUUCCUUAAAGUUCAACAUUUUUCAGAUGUGGAAGAGGUGAAGAAAAAACAACAGAGGCAUGAAAAGACAUCACUUUGCAAGAAUUCCAGGACUGCUUUGAUCAGUGGAAAAUGCAUCUGGACCAAUCCAUUGUUUCAAAUGUAGAAUACUUUGAAGGCGAUAAAAGUGUAAACAUGUAAAACUAAGUAAAUAAAAUAAUAUUGCAAAUUCUGGUUUCUUUUGGAUAACCCCUCGUAUAUAUAUUACCCAUAUAUAUGCACACCAAUGACAAUUUAACCUCAUUUCAAACAACCUGUAACAACAAACUUGCUGGCAUCUAAGUCAACACAGAUAUUGUAUCAGCAUGGUAUGCUUUUAAAAAUGCUGUAUUUGAGUCAUCCUGUGAAGCAUUUGGGUAUUUUAAAAGGAAGCACUAAGAUUGGUUUGACUCAGAUGAUCCAAACAUCUCUCCUCUUUUGGACAAUAUGCUCAAGUGCCACUGUCAAUGGGUGUCAAACAAAAAUAGUGCCACAAAACACAAUGAGUUUGAAAAGGCCAGAAAUACAUGCCAAUCUCAACUGAGGCAAAUCAAACAGACAUAGUGCAAAAGAAGGCACAAGACUUGCAGAAUACUGCAGAUAGAUGUAAUUCCAAGUCAUUCUAUCUGUUAUGGCGAAAAUCAUGACACUCCCUUUGAGAAUGGACUAGCCAAACUCGUAUAUAUAACAAUGUGUUUGACUGAGAACGAGAGAUGAGAAAUUGCAGUAAGUUGAACGGUGUUGUUUGUGAAUUUGUGGAGUCAUAGGAAAUUGUUGAGAAGUUGUUAUAGUUUGUUGAGAGUUGUUUUGGAUUGAUUACAGUUGUUGGCAGAGUGUUUGGGAAUACAUCAAGUGGAGACAGUUGGUGUCUACCCUGUUCUGUGGUAUUGUAUAUCACAAUGUUAUUAGUGCACGACACUAAGGUGACAUAUACUGAAACCACAUUACAAAAGUGGAAACAAGUGAUUUGAAGCUUAUGUUGGUCAUUAAUAAUUUUUUAUGAUACAAAAAAUUCAUUAAUUAUGGAAGACCUAUUAGCUAACAUAUUACAGUUGCAAAAGCAACUGCAACAGCAGUAACAAGAGUUGCACCAACAACUACAACAGCAACAACUACAACACAAUCAGUUGUUGGAACUGAUAUUGAAGUCAGGAAACACCACCAGUUCAUUUUCACCAGAUGGUGUAGUGAAGGCUAUAAAUGUUGUGAUAAGAGUUCCCUGUUUAACACUUGUUGGGAGUGUUUGAACUUAGUAAAAGAAGAGGACGAAGAUUUUGUCGGUUAUGCUGGAAUCAUAAAUAAAAUGUGCAAAAAAUUUUAACUGAAGGAAUUAUCUCUUGACAUGUUUAAAUCCCUCAUCUUUGUGCAAGGUUUAACGGCAAACAGAGAUGCAGAAAUUCGUGCAUGGAUUCUUACAAAACUAGAACUGGAGGACCAGAAUUUAACCCUGCAAAUUCUAGCAAAGGGAUGUCAAAGAAUUUUCAACUUGUAACAGGACAUACAGAAAAUAGAAGAAAAAAUUUCUCUCAAGUAUAGAUGUGUCAACUGGGAAUAAAUAAAGAAAAAUGAAUGUUAUGACCAAAUCCGUGCUAUUGGGAUGGAGGUCUGCAUUUUAAGAAAGAGUGUCCAUUUAAAACUUGGAAAUGUUUUAAUUGUCAAAAAAUAGGACAUAAAAGCUCGUACUGCAUAGUGAAGCAAAAAAGGUUGGAAAAAUAAUUUCUUCUAAAAAGGUUUGCUUAACAGAAAGUUGUGAGACAACCAAAAUGGAAAGUAUGUGUAUGUAAAAAUAGACAACACCGACAUGAAAAUACAACUAGACACAGGUAGCGACAUUACAAUUAUUAAUACCGACAUGUGGAAGAAAAUUGGGAAACCUACAUUAAAGAAAACAUUGAGAAAUGUGCAAGGCAUCACAGGUGAAAGAUUACACUUCUUAGGCAAAAUGGUAAGCAACAUUACAUUUUGUGGUAAAACGUGUAAAGCAAAAGUGUUAGUGUUAAAAAAUGCAAUAAACUUGUUCAGUACUGACUGGAUGGAGUUGUUUGAUUUAUGGGACCUCCCCAUAAAUCUGUUCUGUAAAAACAAAUGACUGUUUCUCCAGUAAGAAUAAGGCAUUAGAUGAAUUGAAGAGAACAUUUUUAAAUGCUUUUCCUGAAGUGUUGUCAGAUAAAUUAGGUUUGUGUACUAAGACUGAGACAUGUUUCCAAAUUAAGGAAAACACAAUACCAGUGUUCAAGCCAAAAAGAACAGUACCUUUUGCUGUGAUAAAACAUGUCAUUGAAGAAUUAGACAGAUUAGAAAAAAUUGGAGUCAUCCAAAAAGUAGAAUAUGCAAAAUGGGCAAUUCCAACAGUGUGUAUUAAAAAAAGGAAUACCAAAAAUCGGGGUGUGUGCUGAUUUUUUUCACUGGUUUCAAUGAAUGUCUGAAAACAUGUCACUAUCCACUAUCUACUCCAGUGGAUAUUUUUGCCAAGUCAAAUGGGGGCAAGAUAUUUUCGAAACAGAAUCUCUUCAAUGUGUACCUACAAAUUAGAGUUCAUAAAGAAUGCUCAAAAUAUCUAACAGUGAAUACAUAUAAAGGACUAUAUAAAUACUAGCAAUGCAUCCUAGUGUUGCCCAGGUGUUAUGACCUACAAGCACAUUGUAUUAUUUGGUCCUUUCUUAUGAGCAGAAUUGGCACAGCUGAUAUAUAGUUAAUGGAGUAAUGGAAGUUAUUUUUUGUUUAAGAGUGGAGAGCGAAGAUACAAUUUGCAUGGGUUUGCAUGAAAGUGCUUUCUGCUCUUAAGAAGAAUCAGAAACUAUGUAUUGUUUCAUCGUAUAAAAGGAGGUUAAUAUGA